CGCGCAGGGCGAAGCCGGGCGGGGGCGGCUCGGCGGCGGGCGGCGCGGCGGGGCCGGGCCGGGGCGGUCCCCGCUGGCGGCGGGACUUGGCGCGCCGGUUCUGGAACCAGACCUGGGGAGAGAGGGCGGCGGUGAGGGCGGGCGGGGGCGGCCCCGGGCGGUGCGGGACAGCCGGCGCCGCUCACCUGGAUGCGGGACUCGGGGAUCUGCGUGGCGUCGGCCAGCUUCUCCCGGAGAUAAGACAGCAGGAGUCCUGGCAUGUACACAGCAGUCCAGGAGAAGCUGGAACCUGCUGAGACUGAAAAUCCUGACAGACCAAAGACUGAUCCCACAGAGCCUGAUGUUGCAUCUCUUUGGACAAAUGCUGAUCUUCCCACUGGCUGCAUGGAGCCAGCUCCUGCUUGAUUGACUGGGAUAAUUUCUAGCUGUGAGGUGAGAAGGUGCCCACACAAGCAAACUGCUGUACGUUGUGCUCUUUCCUCAUCAUAACAAAGUGUCCAGAACACGUGUGUGAGUGCUGAAUCCCUUCAUCUCAAGCAGGUCUUCGUGUUUGAGCUCUCCACAGCAGCAGGUGGCCAUUAACAGCCUAUAGCCAAGCCUGGGCCAUCCAUAGGUAUCCAUCAAAUGCCGCUGUAACUUGCCUGCGGCCCCAUUGCAGAAGGGAAGGUGCAUGACACAGGCUUGUUCCUAGAAGAUCCCUGUCCCAGAGCAGGAUCAGUGCCUGCUUCCUGCUCUGCAGGCCUCCAUCGCAUCUUGCAGCAAUGCAGCUUCACCAGAUUCCUUUGGCUAACCAGAGGGGAAGAGCUGGUUUCAGAUGGGAGUUUUACUUAGGACCACAUAAAAUGAGUAUGCACCAAGAGCUGCAGAAGGCCCCCCUGACCUCUGUUCUCUGUCCACAUUGCCCAGGUCAGUUCUCAAACUCUUGCUGGUGUUUUCAGCAGGUGCAGAAACCAUGGACCACAUCACACAGUAGGAAAGAAUUACUAAUUUUUUCUUCAUGUAGACGGGUAGAAUUCAUGAAGAAAAAGAAAAAGAAGAAGUCAUGAAGUGCUCUUUGGAAAACUUGCAGAAUAGCCACAGUGUAGAUAUUUUCAGCUAUUUUUGCUGGGUGAAGUUUGGGCCAUUUGGGAACUGACCAUUAAGCAUGGUAUAAAUAGGAAGGAGAAAUUUAAGUGGAAAAUACCUUUGCCAGCAGUGCCUCCAGUUGGCACAGCAGAUGUAAGUAAGGGAUGUACCUGCUUUGGCUGGCACUUUUUUUUUGGUGGGGAAAUGCCUCCAUUAGACCUAUUUAUUGGUUGACUACAUUAGCAAAAUACUCCUAGUGCGGCUUUUGUUAUAUAGCAAAGUGUUAUUUUCCACCUCCUUCCUGAAGAAAAUAAGCAGUGCUUCUAUGUGCUUGUUUGACUGAAAACCAGUUAAUUUUCUUUCAUGCAGUUAGAAACUUUUCUUUUCCAUAGCAGCAUGGUCAUUGUUUAGAUUAAGUUUGAGAACAAGAAGGUAACGCUCCAGGACAGAGUUAAUGUUUGUAAUUGCUCUGGUCUGGGAGCUGAGGCCUCUGAGCAUUGCCCACAGAUGUGAGACAUCGAGGAAGGGGGCAGAGAUGGGCCAGAGCUUGGCUGACAUCCACACUGAUCAAUAAGAGUAUUCCAUCUCAUCAGCAUCAUCCUGCAUAUUUGAGGAGAGUUGGGAUAUUCCACACAGGUUUUCUCAGAGCCAGGACUGAGACCAGUUUGGGGGAGUUCUGUUCAGGGCUUUCUUUAUUUUGGCCUUUUUCCAUCGUGCUGUUUUGCAGAGGCCUCUGGGCCUUCCUGCCUUUUUCUCUGUUCUGUCUCCAGGAUCGGCUGUUUGGGACCAGGUGCUGCUGCCUGCCACUGGCUGCUCAGUGUGGAUGGAAUUUGUGAGGAAUUGCAUUGAGUAUCUUAUUUUAUAUUCUAUUUUAUAUACAUAUAUAUUAUUAGUAGUAGUAUAUUGGUGUUAUUUUGUUAUUUUAUUAAACUGUGUUUGUCUCAAUCCACAGGUUUGUUCCUUCACUUUCAAUUCUCUUCCCUAUUCAGGGGCGGCAGGCGGGGGAGUGAGCGAGUGGCUGUCGUGGUUGUAUUGCUAGCUCAGGUUAAACCACGACAUUGUAAAAUCAGAGAUUCUUUUCUGUUAGAACCGCGUCUUUAUUACAGCACAGGAGAGCGGAGGGUAGUGCUGAUGUAACAUUGGGGGACGCUGGAGAGCAAAGAUCCCGGUUUCCCUGCAUGAAGCACAGGGGCUACAUGUGCCUCAGUGGGGAGAUGGUGGGACACUCUCCAGUGUGACAGUCACUCUCCGGUGUGACACUCUGUGCUGGGCCCCUUGUGUAGUGCCAGGUGGGAGCACAGGGUAAAGAGGGCAGCAGCAACCGUGGGCUGAGGCUGGAGGGGGCUGCUGUGGUUGCCGGUGUCACCUGUGUCAGCAGAAAUUCAUGUGACAUUUUGGGCAGGGGAAGGCAGCGCUGAUGUUUCCUGGCUGCUGCGCUGGGAGCGUGCCCAUAAGCUUGGCUACGAGGAUGAGACGUUUUCCAGCAUAGAGAAGGUUUGUGUCUGUGCAGUUUUAAGGUCAAAUUGUGCCAUUGCACCCUCAAAAGUCCAGCACAGGGCCACAAAGAUGAUGAAGGGAGUGGAGCAUCUCCCUUAUGAGGAAAGGCUGAGGGAGCUGGGGCUCUUUAGCUUGGAGAAGAGGAGACUGAGGGGUGACCUCACUCAUGUUUAUAAAUAUGGAAAGGGUGAGUGUCACGAGGAUGGAGCCAGGCUCUUCUCAGUGACAACCAAUGAUAAGACACGGGGCAAUGGGUACAAAUUGGAACACAGGAGGUUCCAAUUAAAUAUGAGAAGAAACUUCUUCUCAGUGAGGGUGCCGGAGCACUGGACCAGGCUGCCCAGGGGGGUUGUGGAGUCUCCUUCUCUGCAGACAUUCAAAACCUGCCUGGACACCUUCCUGUGUAACCUCAUCUGGGUGUUCCUGCUCCAGCGGGGAAUUUGAGCUGGAUGAUCUUUUGAGGUCCCUUCCAUUCCCUGACAUUCUGUGAGACAGUGAACAGUGGCAGAUUGUGAAAGGGGCAGUACCAGUAACUCUUGCCCAGAACAUUUUUGGCAGGCCAGCUAACCACCACCUGGGAGGGCUCUCAGACUGUGGUGAUGCUCUGUCUCCCCACAUUGUGCAGCCCCUCCUGGUGAAGACAGGCUAGACGGCCCUGGCUUGGCCUGUUAAAUGCGCUUCUUGCCAAGAUGCUGGGUCCCUGUGAGAUGAAACAGAGCAGGUCAGGGAAAGAGUAAGACAUCAAUAUUUUCCUGUGAAGUCUUUUAGGAUCUCAGAAGAAAACAUUGCUGAAAACCAAACAGUCUUUAGUCCCAGGCUCAGAGCGGGGGGUACCGUGUGUGUAAAGCUGGGAAAGGUACCUCAGGAACCCCAGGCCAUUCCCAUGGCAAAUGUCCACUAAUGUAGUGGUACAGAUAUUCAGACUCACAUGAGCAGAGCGUGGAUUUACAAGUUUUUGGGGAUAGACCUCAUACAAUUAGCACUGGUGAAACCUCUGCACUAAACCUUUAUUCAGCAGUGUUUUAGUCUUCCUUAUGUUAUUGUAUCCUAGUUUGCAUGUCUUGUAUCCUACAGGCAGUGCCCUAAGCAAUGGGCACAGACUGAAGCACAGGAGGUUCCAUCUGAAUAUGAGGAGAAACUUCUUUCCUUUGAGGUGCCAGAGCCCUGGAACAGGCUGCCCAGAGAGAUUGUGGAGUCUCCUUCACUGGAGACAUUUGAAACCCACCUGGACACCUUCCUGUGUGAUCUGCUCUGGGUGAACCUACUUUAGCAGUUCGAGAAGUUUUCUUCUUUAGACCUUCAGGACUUCCCACUCCUCCUGAGGGAUGUCUUCUCCUGACUCCUAGGUGACUGUUAGAAAAAUCAAAAAUGUUAUAUAUUUUGUAGUGCAUUAAAUUACUUACCUCUAAAUAAGUAUUAUUUUAAUCAGACCAGUUGCGUUGGGUACUCUUACUUAUUUUUGUGGCAUCUGGUAGUCCUAAUCAGGACCAGCCCCUUCCUGAUGUGACCACUAAAGCCUGGGGACUGAAUGAUUCUGUUAAAGUGAUCAACAGUGAGAUAACUACGCCUUGCACCAAACACAGGGAGGGGGUCAGAACGAACACCCACUGACCUGAAUGUGGCAUUUCACACCACAACGCUAAGGUUCAACCCGCAAAGGUUGCUACUGCCCUCUUUUUGAAUAGAGAGGAUCAGCAAGAACUGUCUGACCGUCCUGGCUAUCAGGUUACUGGGAGUUGCAGGGCACGCUACUGGUGAUGUUUGGGACCUGGUCUGGCAAGGAAUUUCCUUCUCCAGGUUUUCAUAGAACAACUUCGGUUGGAAGAGACCCUCAGGAUCAUCGAGUCCAACCAUAACCGAACUCUGGCACUAAACCAUGUCCCUAAGAACCUCGUUUAUAUGUCUUUUAAACACCUCCAGGGAUGGUGACUCCACCACUUCUCCAGAUUUUGAUCUGGAAUGGAACUUCAGUUGCUGUUGCGAAUAUCAGAGCCUGUUCUCUACCUGGAAGAUACUGUUUUGCUGUUGUGUAAAGGCUACUCAACCAUUACAGUGACGGGCACUCUGUGGAGGCCUGUAAUAAAGGCAACACACAAAACGAGAUAAUACAUUCA